rnacentral:tRNA from 1 species
UAUAAUUUAAUUUAAAUAAAAUAUUAUCCUUCAAAGAUAAAAAUGAUUUCAAUUAUAG